CCAAUUGAUUUUUUUCCAUUGAAUCCUCAAUUGGGUCUGUUUUUCUAUUAUGAGCUUAAUUAAUUUUUUAACUUUUUAUUAAGUUGUUUUUCCUUUAACCUUAUAUUAAUAUUCAUUACUUUAUUAAAAAAACUUACUUUUAGGUAAUUUUUCCAACCAAAAUGAUAUCAAAUUAACUCGUAACAUAAAUUCAAUAAAAUAUAUUAUAUAAACAUAUACAUAAAUUCAUUAAAACCUGUCAAUAGUGAAAACACCAUUAAUUUGUCUGAAGUCUCUACUUUUGGGAUCUUAAUGGGGGAGAAAAUUUUUAGAUAGAAACUGAAUACGAUAUAUAAAGUAAAUGCCACGUUAAAAGCUCAGUUCUUUGGAAAAUAAAUUCCAUCACGACUGAACCAAAAAUUCCCUUGUGUCAUAAUCUUUUGUGGAAAAUUAGGCACAUAAUGGAAAAGUAUAUCCACAAAAUGAUAGAAAAAGGCUUUGGGCCACAAUUAAAUCAACAUCUUUAAAUUGUUAAAUCAAAUUAAAGAUGGAAUCGUCGUUGUCAUGGGAUCCACACGGGGUGUACGUAUAAUGAAUUUCCCAUGUUUUUUGCAUGAAACUUUUGAUUCAAUGAGAAAGGAAAUAUUUUCAAAAUCAUGCAGCUUCGGAUUCUAAUUAAGCUUAUUUUUUUCCAAGCAAUUGCAAAGAUUUGUUUCGACAACAAAUAAUAAUCGGAUAAAAGUGUAAUUAUUAAAUAGUAAUUACAAAAGAUUUAUAAUUACAAAAUUAGAUCGUAAUUUUCUAUAUCAUAUUUCGUAGUACAAAUUGUAAAUUAUAAUUUAUAAUUACAUAGGUACUUAAUAUAUUUUAAAAAAAAUAUUAAUUACUAUAAUAAAUAAUCAGUAAAAUUAAAAAAUUUCUAAACAAGUAACAAAAAUUAAAAUAAAAUCAUCAUAUUUAAUAUGUUAGUCCAAGAAAAUAAUCGAUAAUACGAUUACUAAUAAAAAUAACAAGAAAAAUGAUUUAUAAAUAAGUAUAUUAUUUUCUAUAACAUAUAGUAUGGACACAUAAGUAAGUUAUAUUUAAAUUUUUUGACCAUAACUUUUUUAUAAAUAAGUAUGUAGUACACUUUUUAUAAAACAUAAAUUAUUUUUAUAAUAUACUUUUGGCUAUAACUUUAGAAACUUUUUAGGAUUUAAAUAAUAUAAUUCUUGUCAUAAUUUUAUAAAAUAUUAAAAAUAUAUAAUGUAAUUUUUUAGGACUUAUAAUAUGAUUUUAGAAAUUUUUAUUCAUAAUCAUCCCAAACACGCAUGCGUAUUUAUGUUUAUAAAAUAAUUUUUUUAACUUAAAUUUGUAAAAAAAAUAUUUUUUAAAGUUAAAUUAUGUAUGAAUUUUCAGUGAGAAAUUAAAUAUCGGGAAACAUGCGUUGAUGAAAAUUAAAAUCAGGAGGUAUCAUAAUUAUCAAGAAAUAUGGACCAUAGGAAGAGCAAAGAUUCAAUCCUAUAAUAUAGUAUUCGCAUUAUUGAUACUAACAACAUAGAAAUUUCCAUGAAAAAGAAAGCAUUGCGCAUGAUGAAUUAAGUUCCAUGACAAGGACUGAAGCAAUGACGACAACUGGCCCCUACAACUAUUGCAACAAGACCUUGAAUCCUUUGAUGAGUUCCUUUAAAUUCCUCAGUUUGGAAACCAUAACAUAUAUGCUACCACUAAAUCCUUACCAGAUUAAACAAUGGCCUCAUCCUUAACCAUUUCUGUUAUUCCAGGGGUACUGUGGGCUACCAUCCUUUCUUUUGCUACAACUGUGACAGCAGCAUAUCCAUCGCCAUUGGAGUCCGAAGCCAUAGCUCUGCUAGAAAGCAGGUGGUGGAGUAACCAUAGCAGCAAUACUUCACAAUGUUGCCAGUGGCCUGGUAUAACCUGCAACACUGCUGAAAGCAUCACCCAAAUUAACUUAUCUGAUGCGCCCAACAUUGAGGUUGGAGCUAGAUUUGGGAAACUGAAUUUCUCUUCAUUUCCAAAUCUUGUCCUUCUUAAUCUUAGUGAUCAUCAACUUAGAGGAAAAAUCCCGCAUCAGAUAGGUGAUCUAUCAGCAUUGAAGUACCUUGACUUGUCUUAUUGUGGUUUAUCUGGUGAGUUACCUCCUUCUCUAGGGAAGCUGACCCAAUUAGAAUUCCUCGACAUUUCCUAUAAUGAUAAUAUUAAUGGUUCCAUCCCUCCACAAUUGGGGAAUCUAGAGAACCUUGUGACUUUAAACUUAAGUCAAUGUGGAAUUGUUGGUCCAAUCCCUUCUGCUUUGGGUCAAUUAACCAGUCUCCAAUCUCUGAUCCUUUGGGGGAACCAAAUCAAUGGAUCUAUCCCAUUAGAAAUUGGAUAUUUGAGAAAUUUGACUUAUUUGAGUCUCUCCAACAAUAGAAUUGUUGGUCCAAUCCCUUCUGCUUUGGGUCAAUUAACCAGUCUCCAAUCUCUGAUCCUUUGGGGGAACCAAAUCAAUGGAUCUAUCCCAUUCGAAAUUGGAUAUUUGAGAAAUUUGACUUAUUUGAGUCUCUCCAAGAAUAGAAUUGUUGGUCGAAUCCCUUCUGCUUUGGGUCAAUUAACCAGUCUCCAAUCUCUGAUCCUUUCGGGGAACCAAAUCAAUGGAUCUAUCCCAUUAGAAAUUGGAUAUUUGAGAAAUUUGACUGAUUUGAGUCUCUCCAGCAAUGGAAUUGUUGGUCCAAUCCCUUCUGCUUUGGGUCAAUUAACCAGUCUCCAAUAUCUGCUCCUUUCGGGGAACCAAAUCAAUGGAUCUAUCCCAUUAGAAAUUGGAUAUUUGAGAAAUUUGACUUAUUUGAGUCUCUACAACAAUAGACUUGUCGAUUCAAUACCCAUUACUCUGUACCAAUUAACCAAUUUGGAAAUUUUGGACGUUGAUAAUAACCAACUUCAAGGUUCUAUUCCCCAAGAAAUUUGUAAUCUAGCAAAUUUAACUUCAUUGUACCUCUCCCAAAACAAAUUGACUGGUUCAAUCCCUUCUUGUGUUGGUAGUUUAUCAAAGAUGCUGUACUUAAGCCUUGGUUCUAAUCUAUUAAAAGGUCCUAUUCCCCAAGAAAUUUGUAAUCUAGCAAAUUUGACUUCAUUGUACCUCUCCCAAAACAAAUUGACUGGUUCAAUCCCUUCUUGUAUUGGUAGUUUAUCAAAGAUGCUGGACUUAAGCCUUGGUUCUAAUCUAUUAAAAGGUUCUAUCCCAAAAGAAAUUGGCAAGCUUUUUGAUCUAUCAUAUCUAAACCUUAGCUUCAACCAACUCUCAGGUCCUAUCCCUAUCUUGUCUGCCACUAAGCUUCGCAUUAUCGAUGCUGGAAAUGGUUGUAACAAGAUUUCUCCCGAUCCAUUUGAAGGCAAUAGUGAUUUAUCACCCUAUAUGUGUCCUACUCCACUAACCAAAAUAGCCAACAGCAGCAGAAUUCCUUACUAUAUCAAAACAUUCCUCCCUAUUGCGAUCUUAUUCACAUUCUCCAUUUUAGGAUGUUUGCUAUUUUCACGGUUUAAGCUCAAGAAUAACCAUGUCAGCGUACAACCAACCAAGAAUGGGGAUUUGUGUUCCAUAUGGAACUAUGAUGGAAAGAUAGCAUACGAGGAUAUCGUUGCAGCAACAGAGGAUUUCGACUUCCGAUACUGUAUUGGAGUUGGUGGUUAUGGUAGUGUUUACAAAGCAAAACUCCCUUGUGGUAAAGUAGUUGCUUUGAAGAAACUUCAUCAUUUAGAAGCCGAAAAUCCAACUUUUGACAAGAGUUUCAGGAACGAGAUCAAGUUUCUAUCAGAAAUACGACAUCGAAACAUAGUGAAGCUUCACGGGUUUUGUCUACACCGACGAUCCAUGUUUUUGAUCUAUGAAUACAUGGAAAAAGGGAGUUUGUUCUGCAACCUAAGGGAUGAAGUGAACGCUGUGGACAUGGAUUGGACGAAAAGAGUAGAGAUCAUCAAAGGCAUAGCACAUGCUUUGUCUUACUUGCACCAUGAUUGCUGCCCUCCGAUAGUUCAUCGAGACAUAUCAAGUAACAAUGUUCUUUUAAACUCAAGUUUUGAGGCCUUUGUGGCCGACUUUGGAACAGCUAGAAUGUUGGAUCUUGAUUCAUCUUAUCAGACCAUUAUUGUCGGAACUUGUGGCUACGUAGCUCCAGGUGGCGUUUUCUUUUUUACUUGAUUUACUGACCUUUUCUCUGAACAUAUAGUUGAAUUUCUUCUUACUAAUUUGUGUAGGUAGAACUUGCUUAUACAAUGAUUGUCACCGAAAAAUGCGAUGUUUAUAGUUUUGGAGUGAUAGCACUGGAAACAUUAAUGGGAAAGCAUCCUGAAGAAGUGUUAUCAUGGUUGUCAUCACCAACUUCUUUGGUAAACAUGAAGCUGGUUGAUGUGUUAGACAACCGUUUACCACUUCCAACAAGUCAACUAGUUACACAAAAUCUUGUUCAUGUUGAUACACUGGCAUUCGCUUGCUUAAAUCCACAAACGAAGUCCCGACCAACAAUGAAGGAAGUGUCUGAAUGGUUCCUUUCUCGCCAUACAUCCUUGGGAAUUCCUCUUUGGAUGAUCUCUUUGUUACAACUCAUGAACCGUGAAAUGCAUAUUAAAGGCAAAACUAAAACUUGUGAUGUUUAAAGUCCAUGCGCUUGUUGAUUAGAUAUUGUUUAUCAUGCUCUGAUAAUUUGUUUGUAAACCAUCUCUGGUUUUAUAUAUGAUGGAAUGAAUUGCAAUGUUUAAUAAACCCGUUUAUUCGGUUGCUUUAGAAGACAUAAAUUCUACAAUUUGAUCCAAAUAUUAAGACAUCAUCGCUGGCUGCUUCCUUGAAUUUUGUGCUUCUUUCAAACCAACUCAAAGAUAAAUAACAUAAAAGUAAAUUAAGGGUGAAUCAAAGCAACAAAAUGCAAUCAAUACAUACAUCAAGAAUUCACCUCAGCUAUCUAUAAUUCAUGAAACAAUCUCUCAACUUAUAAAAUGUAAGUGAGACUCCACAGACCUGAUAUCCAAACUCAAAAGCAAUAAAAGGCGUCAUCAGAACCCUGGCAAGUGAAGACGACAAUCUUUUCAAGCAAGGUAGCGAUACAACUUCCUGUCACCUUUAUCCCUCUCCAGGAACUCCCGCUCAAUAAGGGACUCGAUCCGUUUCUUAAUUACAACGGGGUUGGGCAGAAACCGUGACUGUAGCUGUUUUGUGACCUCAGCAACAAUGUUGUUAUGAUCCAGCACACGCCUAGCUUUCAUGAUCCUCACGAUUGCUGCCUCAAUUUGCGGUUUUCGAUCUUCCUCCACUCUCUGCCUAGUUUCUUGAUUUUCAGGUUCCGACUCCCUUUGCGCAGCCACAGUGCCUAUCUUGACCUUGAAGAACUUGCUUGUAUACUUGUCAUUGAAAAGAAAGGUAUCAGUGUCUACUAUGUCCUUGCUCAUAGGUUCUUUCCGAAGCACAUUUUUUCCCUUAACACAGGCAAGAGACUGCAAGCACCUUUUCAAGUCAAAGGUAGGAAUCUCGGUCACCUGCUCAAUCUCCUUAUAGCUUAGUCGAUCAGCAUCGUUGAAGAGCAUAAGGACACACAUCUGGUAUGUGGAAACAUUCAGUUCAUGCUUCUGUCCCUUACCAAAGGUUGCCUUCAAAUCAGCUGUCCCCAUGUUAGUUUGCCAAGACAAUCUCCGUCCGGUAUGGGUACCUAGGUAAUAAUUACGGAAUUUCUCACAUAUUCCCAGAAUUUCAGCAGGAAGUUUGCAUGUAGUAAUAGGUUGAGUUGGCCAAGAUCCAGUUGUCAGAACCUGGACAGAAAGCAUGGGACCAUCCCCUAUAUCCGAACCAUGACUUGCAUGGAAACCUUGCAUCGUAUCUUGUGAUGUCUUCAUAUCUGUGAACAUACCCUCCAACUUUGAGGUGAAUUGAUACCCACACUCUGUUUUGAGCUUAACAAUCAAACUUCUUUCAGCAUCAUCAGAGACGGACUUCCCUGAAAGAAGCCUUUUGGCCAAGUGUUGUUUGUAGUACUUCUCGAAAACAUCUUUCUCUUGAAGGUAACGGAAGAGCAUCAUCACCUUGUCGAGUAACAAUUCCACAUCCUCUUCAGUAACCCCCCUCAAACCUUUUCGAAGCUUAUCAUCAACAAACAAAGAGAUGAACUCUGGAGACCGAGAAUUCAGAUUGAUGAAAUAUUCAAACGAGGAAUUUAAUGCAUUUUGAAAAGUCUUGUCAUUUCUAAAUGCUGAAGUGAUAAUCUUGUCGUAUUUGUCCUUUAAAUCCAACAGAUGUUGCACAAAAUCGACAGGAUCCUUCAGCCUUUCGGGAUCAGUGAGUAACUGCUUACCAGUAUCACGAAUGUAUGAAGUCAUGACAUCUCUGAUUAAAACAAGCCCAUUGGAUACUCGACGAAACAAGUAAUACAUCCUUCCUAAGUCCUCAUAUUUUUCAUCGACAAUCAUAUUAAUCAACCCCGAGUUCUCCAUUUGCACAAGCCUGUGCAUAUGACUUUCAAUCAUCUCCGUUUCUACCACAUUUGUUAUCUUGACUUCACUUCUGGUGUCCAAGUAAUGUGAGACUCUCUCUAUUUCUUCAUUUAGGCGUCUCUCGGCUUUCUUUAGAUACUCCCCACAAUCACAUUACAGUCAUCUUCUAACCCACAAUCAUUUGUGCUAUGAGCUUUUGGGCACUAUUCCGGAUAAAAUGGACGGAGGCAAGAUCGAGAUGGGCUAGUUGCGAGACACACUCCUGGAUCCGGAUGAAGAUUCAACCGAAAUAGAAAGAAUCCGAUAUGCUCGGGCAUACAUUCUUCAGUUAAUUGGAGGUUAUCUAAUGAUAGACUUGUCACGGAGCCGCGUACAUCUAAUAUGGCUGCUGAAACUCGUUGAUUUUAGAGCAGCUGGUGAAUUCAGUUGGGGGUCUACCGUCUUGGCCACAUUAUAUCGGGAGAUGUGCGGGGCGACGUGACCGAGGAGAGUAAAAAUCAGAGGUUGCCUGUCACUACUGCAAUCAUGGGCACGGUUUCGCUUUCCAUUUUUAUGUCCUCGAGUGGACCACCCAUAUACAUUCCCAUUCAUAACGAGGUAAAUUUUAUAUUAGAUUUUACAAUUAUUAUGUAGAUAUUUAAAAAUAAAAGUAUGCUAAAAGUUUAUUUAAUUAGGUGGAACCAUCCGGCAAGUCAUGCUCGAUUACCUACCGAACUUGAAAAUAUACGGCUUCUAUUAGACCAACAGUCGGAAGCACAUGUAAGUAUUAAAUAAAAUUGAUAUUUCCAUCAUUCGCUAGUCGAUUGGUAAAUAGUAUUUAGUAUUUAGUAUUUAGUAUUUAGUAUUAUGUAUAUAACUAAUAUUUCUAUAAUGUUCACAUAGUUUCAAUGGACACCAUACGAGGAUCCGGCAAUUUGGGCAAUAAUUCCGGAUGAGUUCUUACAAAAUCGAAACGCUUGGCACGUGAAAGUCGUGUUGAUCAACUACACGACCAUGGAGCCACACCAGUCAGACAGAGUGCUACGACAGUUUGGAUGUAGACAACUAAUUCCCGUGGAACCUGAGGUGUUUGACGAUCAACACAAAAUCGACCUUCGGCAAUUGAAUACGGAUUGGCCAAGAUACUGGUUCGAGUACAUGGAAAUGUGGGAAGAUCGGUAUGAAUACAUACCUACUCUGGAACCAAUCAUCGUUCCGGAGUUAGUGUGGGUGCUGGAAUACAUGUCAUGGUUUAGGAUUCAUGGCAAGCUGUAUUUACUGACGCCAGAGGAGAGGCAGCGGCAAUUACGUGUCCAAAGGGAAAGGCGCAGGCCUCAAAAUCCAAGACGACAAGACGACGACGCUAGCCCCUCAACGAGGCCUAGACAUUCACCCGGCCCAUCAUCAGAGGUCAUGCAAUCACUAGGCCCAACGAGAGUACCGACACAGUCACCUGACCCAGCAGUCCAACCGAUGAUACCCACGCAACCGCUUUUUCAGAUGAUGCCAGGUGCGUUUCCUAGCCUUUUUAUAUAUCCUAACCCUUAUAUGUAUCCUUUUCCGAGUCCUAAGGCAGGUUGGAGCCAAUGGCCCGGUUCAGCUCCGUUUCCUGUUACGCCGAGUGGACCGCCGAUGUAUAGGUCAGCAGCACACGAGGGAUCGCAAGAGGGGCCGUCGAGGAGCUCUUCUUUUUACCAAUCCCCACCACCGUAUGAGUUUCAAACACCGUCACCGUUGGUGAUGCAAAAACCUCCACAUUCACUAUUCUUUGAAGGUGGAUCAUCGUCCCAACUCCGACAACCAGAUACCCUACCAGAAGAACCAGAAUCCCCGCCACAGGAACCACAACCGCCACCGGAAGCUGGACAAAGGAGGCAUCCAGCGCGUAACCAUCGACGGCCGCCAUGUGGCACUGAAUCCAGCGGGCACAGACAUUGAUUUUUGUAUUUAAAUUUAUUUGUACAAAUAUUUUGAAUAUUUUGAUACUAUUUGAUGUAAUAAAAUAGAAAUUGUUUUGAGUUAUUACUUAAAACCCUAAACUAAUUUCUUAAAAAUUUAUAAAUCUAUAAUUUAUAAUUUAAUUGACAAACCUUAAACCCCAAAACUAAAAACCCUAACCCUAAUCAUAACCCUUAACUUAAAAACUCUAACCUUUAAAUUAAAAACACUAAACCCUAAACCUAAAAACCAUAAACCCUUAAGCUAAAAACCUAACCUUAGACCCUAACCAUUAACCUAAAACACUAACCUUAAACCCUAAACUCAUAAACCUAAAUACCCUAACCCUAAACCCUAAACCCUUAACCUAAAAACCUUAACCAUUAACCUAAGAACCCUAAACCCUUAACCUAAAAACCCUAACCCUCAACCUAAAAACCUUAAACCCUUAACCUAAAAACCCUACACACUAAACUUAAAACCCUAAACCCUUAACCUAAAAAUCCUAACCCUUAACAUAAAAACCUUAAACCCUUAACCAAAAAACCCUAUACACUAAACUUAAAACCCUAAACCUUAAAUCUAAAAACCCUAACCCUUAACCUAAAUUUCAUAAACCCUUAACCUAAAAACCCUAACCCUGAACCUAAAUUCUAUAAACCCUUAAUCUAAAAACCCUAACCCUAAACCUUAACCUAAAAACCUUAACCCUCAACCUAAAAACCCUAACCCUUAACCUAAAAACCCUAAAUGCUUAACCUAAAAACCCUAACCCUCAACCUAAAAACCCUAAACCCUUAACAUAAAAACUCUACACACUAAACUUAAAACCUUAAACCCUUAACCUAAAAACUCUAACCCUUAACCUAAAAACCUUCAACCCUUAAACUAAAAACCCUAACCCUCAACCUAAAAACCUUAAACCCUUAACCUAAAUUCCAUAAACCCUUAACCUAAAAACCCUAACCCUUAACCUAAAUUCCAUAAACCCUUAACCUAAAAACCCUAACCCUCAACCUAAAUACCCUAAACCCUUAACAUAAAAACCCUAACAUAAAGGCUUAAAAACUAUCCUUGUCCCUUAACUUAAAUAUAAUUUGAUAAUUUUACUAACCAUUAAUACAAUUAUCAGUUAAUAACUUUACAUUCACGUAAUGUUAGAUUUGGAAAAAUGUUUUGACUAGUACUAACAAUUAAUAAUUUUAUAUAAUUUUAUAAUUUUUCUAACAAUUAAUACAAUUAUCAAUUAAUAAUUGAAAAAAUAUAAUUAGCAGCAAUUACAUUCAACUAUUGCGAUUAGGGCAUGAUCGACUUGUAUGGCCUAGAUUCCUACACCAUCCGCACAACUUUUGUUGACUGGCUGUUUCUCGGAUAGCCAUAUUGUUGCGUAUUCUAGUCGAGCAAGGUCGACCCCUUGGUUUGCGACGCAAUUUUCUAUCCAGUAACAGCUUAAAAUGAGCAAGAGAUACGGGCAGCCACUUACGUUCAUCUGGGGCCAGUGGGAAAACGUGUCUCUAGAUGUUGUACAUGUUUUCUAAUUUGUACACUUCGUCCACAUAGCUCAUCGGAUCCAGACGGAGAUUCUGACAAGAUACAAUAACAUGAGAGCAUGGAUAACAAAGUGCAUCAAAACUCUCACGGUCGCAAGUCCUAUUUCGCAAGUCUACAUGAUAUUGCCCACCAACAACACUUUGGAGCGGUCUAUCAAACUCUGUCACGCGAAACAAUAAGUUGUCUCAAUCGUGACACACGGUGUGCAUGGUGUUUGCCCGCGCCUUGGCCUUGUGAAUUUCUUAAACUACCUUGCUGCACCAUACAUGGCCUCUCUGCAUCUGGCCUGCAUAACUUGCUGCUCGCUUUGGAAAUAGUGCCACCAAACGAAAAUAUGUCUCUCGCACAACUGAUGUUAUCUGUAGAUGACGCAUUUUUUUAAGAACAGAAUUUAUGCAUUCAGCCAAGUUUGACGUCAUAUGGCCAUAUCGUAGGCCGUCGUCGUAUGCUUGUGCCCACUAUUUGAAACGUAUGUUAAAAGGUAGUACGCCCCUCCUUUGUUAAUUGAACGUAAAAUUGCCAACAUCUCGUGAAAACGGUCUUUAUUUAUUUCAUACCCUACCAAUAUAAGUUCAUAGAGAAUAUUACAUGCCACUUAUACUAAUAAAACUAAUUCAAAUUGACAAACGAAAAACACAAAUAUAGACUAAAUACACAUGUUGGUCACUUGUCGUCAUUCGUUCUUAGAUGGAUAUUGACUGUAGUAGUUGGGAGCAACGUGUCUUAGGCAAUAUCGAUGGUGCGUGCGCUGCCAUAAGCUUCCCUCUCGAUCAAAUGCAACUAGUAUAUCGGUGCCCCGAUCUAAAAUAACACAGAUAUCAGGUUGGGGGCACACAUGCCUCCUUAACCUAGAGAGAAAGAAAUCUCAAUCAUCAGAUGACUCCCCCGGUGUUAUUGCAAAUGCAAUUGGAAGAAUUCUCCCACCGCCAUCCUGUGCCACUGCAAGCAAUAGCCGAUGAGUAUACCUACCAAACAUAAAGGUACCGUCAAUUUGUACCAAUGGCUUACAGUAUGGAAAUGCGUCUCGGCAUUGCUUAAAGGUCCAAAACAGGUGUUUGAACACUCGGCAUCCACGUAGCAAUCGGCCGUUGUAGUACGCAUGUUCCGUUUGAAGGUCUAUGAUGGCACCUGGGACGUACCUCUCUAGCACUUGACACCACUGCCAUAUUUUAUUAUAUGAGGCAUCCCACCCACUAUGCAUCUUCUCCAAUUCCUUUUGCUUAGCUAUCCAAGCCUUGCGGUAAGACGGCGUGUACCCUAUUUGGCUACAGAUAUUGGCAAUUAACACCGGCACUGAAGUCUUGGGAUCUGCUUUUACCGUGGGCAGUAUCAAGCUAGCUAACAUAGCUAAAUCCAUCUUGGGAUGAUCUUGUAAAACACCUAUAAUUGGAGUACAUUAAAUAAUGCAACAUUACAUAAUAAAAGUAUUAUUCAGAAACCGUCAAUAUUGUACCUACAGCACAUGUAUGUGGACCUUUGUACUUUUUAAUCUCCCACAACCCUGUCCUUUUCCUUAACGAGGCGUAGGUUUUCCAUGAACAUGUGCCGUCUUGUACCGCAUACUUCACCUCAAACUUAUCAAAUUUCAAUUUAACGACGUGGUAGUUAACGUCGUUUUUGAUGCUAUGUUGUUUCAAAGCACCAAUAAAACUAUCCUUGUUGGUAAACUGAUUGCCAACUUUAAAUUCACCCGAAUCUAGCCCCGAACUUGUACGAUCACGCAACAGGUGUGGUAGAUCUGGAAACUCUAACGUAUCAUCUGCAGACAGAUCGACAUUAUGUAUGUGGGCUAGAGGUGAGUAUACUCUGAAUCAUGGAUUUUCUUCUUCAAUUGAACUCCUUUCAGCAUCUUCAUGUUCUGUUGGAAUAGGCUCCGGUUCAGAAAAUAAGCCAACUUCUGCACCAUCGGGCCCGAGCUCUCGAGGUGGAUCCACAUUACAGUCAUCUUCUAACCCACAAUCAUCUGCAGCGUACGAGGUCCCCUCACCGGUUGACGUCGUAGGGUGUACAUCAUCCCUUCUUCUGGGCAUUUCAUAACGUCCCCAAUUGGAUGUAGAUUGCCACCCACUAGAACUUGAUGUCGUUCCCUAAUACGUAUUUCUAGCAUCAAACGUCGAGCCACUGACGUACAUAUCCCAUCCACCAACAGAGUGUCUUGCAGGGGAUGUGCAUUCGACACCACUAUCAAAUAUGGGCUAUUCUGUGUUUUGUAACCUGCUAACCCAGUGUCAACUAGUGGUCAUGUAUACAUCUCGAACACCAGUCGCAAGUACAUCAUUUGGCGGUGUAAAUUGUACAUAUAACUCAAUAUAAGGUGCUCCACUAGCAAAAUGAGUCUGCACAAUUGCCUCCAAGUUACGAGCACCUUUUAUGUCGAACGAGUCAUAUGUCACCGGAUCAACAGAAGAACAAAAUCAACACGUGAUAGACAGAACUUUCAUUGGUGUCGUUCCAAAAAUUUUACGCCUAAUUCUUUUACGAAGUUUUGUCAAAUCUAUGUUCUGGUUAAAAACCAGUCGCACCGUAUUCUCCGAUAAAAAAACAACACCAUUCUCGGUAUGGCAAACCUCACCAUCGUAGUAAAUAACAGCACUAAUAUGUUCACUCAUAUUUGAAACUCUAACCUUCUUAGCCUCUCUAAAUUGUUUCUGCUGUGACUUAUGCAUUUUGAGAACAUUUUUUGCCUCAUUUAUAGCCUCAGCCCAAACAUGCUAUUGUAGCAAAAGCGCAUCCACGUGGGCACGAUUUCAUAAAUUCUUCUCAUAAAGCUUUUUUUUGGUAAAUUUAAAAAAAUAGGCUUUUUUUGGUAAAUUGCCCUCAAUUGGGUGCAAAAAGUUCGUAGGGGCUUAAUUGAUUUUUUUCGAAAAAGUUCGACGAUCAAAAAUACCUUUAAGCCCUACUUUAACUAUUGAUAUGUCUUUUUUAAUUAAUUUUACAUUCGUGCAUAGUAUAGGCACACAAUGUACGAGGUGUUUCCACGUAUACAUGUAAAGUGCAUUUUGAUGCCACGAAGGAAUUAGAUAAAAAUGUGAUUGUUAAGUUAGUAAUGUCACCUUCUAGUAAUUGAAAAGAAUUAGAUGCAUUUAGCUAGUAGAGUGUAAUUAUAUUGUAAUUCUUUGUGCCUUGUUUAGUAAUAUAAAUUGUAAUUACACAUUUACAAAUUUUAAAUUGUUUAAAAAGUAUUAAUUAAUAUAAAUAUUUAUCAAUAAUAUCUGAGAAAAAAUUUUAAACAAGUGACAUAAAUUAAAAUCAAAUCAUGUUAUGUUAGUCCAAGAAAAUAACCGACAACAUGAUUACCGAUAAAAAAAAAUAAAAAUAAACAUUAUAUGCAACUUUAUUAUUGCUUUAGCAUUCCAUGUUUGUUGGGUUAUUCCUUUUCUAACAUUUAACAUCUACUUCUUAUCAUCAUCUAUUAGUUCUUGACCAAUUUCUUCAUUGUUGAUACAAGGUACAACAAUGGAGGGGAGUAAGGAGGAGGUAAGGUGGAGUGAGUGGUGGUUUUGUGGAGGCCGGUUCACUUAAAGAGGUGGAGAGCCGAAAAGGAACAAGAGGAUAGGCUGAUUGCUGAAAGUGGAGAUGGCUGCUCAGAGUAACUUUAAGGAUUGGAAAAUCGAUCCAUUCUUCAUCGUUGGAAAGGUAUUUAUAAGAGAGGUCCACUUGUCCAUUAGCAUGACAUGGCAGGAUAAAUGUUCAGUCCCACCAAAUGUGUAAAGGAUAUUCAUGAACAUAAAGGAUAUUCAUGAUGGGCCCCAUUAUGUUAUUCAUUUGAUCAAUACAAGGUUGUUAUGCCCAUGCAAGUCCUAAUGGACUCAAGGAUGUGUUCACACCAAAAAAGGGGGUGCCAAGCCUUUCUAAAGGGUUGGUGCUCCUUUGAUCUUAGUGGAUGGUCCAGUGAGACAUCUUCUUAGGAAAACUCAAUGAGAGGGUUAAUGUUGUCUAUACUAUUGACACGUGUCCAUGUGGCGGGGAUAUAACAUUCAUCAUCUACAUCAAAAUCUGAAUAUGCAUCAUUAAGAUUAUUGAAAUCAUUUUUUUAUUUGUAUCAUUAAGAUUAUCAAGAUCUUUUUUUUUUCAUGUACUAUUUAAAAGUAUUGAUAAUUCCAAUUCCACCUAUAAAUGGAAUUGUGAAGUAUACAACAAGUUAGAACGAUUGAACAUUGUUUUUUGGACUAUAUUGAUGUGGUUUGUUAAUAUGAGAAAUAUUUUUUUAGAACAACAAAUAUCCUCUCAACCACAUUUCAAAGCUUUGAAUAAAGAGUUUGCGAGCUGUGUUUGGUACUUGUGUCUAGCUCUAUUCUUUCAAAUGAUAUCAUACCCCGUGAUAUACUGCAAAAAACCUUUUGCAUUUGCAUAAUCAAUAUCUAUCACAUAAUAUUUCCUAAAAAACAUGUAACAAUUUAAAUGAUUUGUGAGAAAAAUAAAAUAACAGCAAGGUGAUGAUAAUAUUAAUGUAUUUAUGAAGUACAAUUUUGAUCUAUUUUCUCUCUCAAACAUCAUUCUUAGCAUUCUAGUAUUUGAGGCACAAAUCAACUUUAUAAUCCUUCAAUUAUAAUAGUUUUUAUAAAUCUAAUUUGCAGUUUACUAUGUGUUCAAUAAUAAACCAACUUUAUAACCUUUUUAUAAUAUUUCGAUUGCUAUUAUUUCAUGCAAUUUAGAUAAAUAUAUAUAUAAAUUUUAUAAUAUAACAUUUAUAAACAAUGUUUUUAUAAAGUGCUGAAUAGCUUUUAUGGUGCUUAUGUUAAAGUGCUCAAAUAUGUGUCACACAAUAAUAGUAUAAAAAUUAUAACACACGAUUUAUAAGCAUAAUUUGCUAGGUUAAAAUUUGCUUUAAAAAAAUACAGGAGUUAGGUGACAUGGCAAGGGUUUCUCCUACCUUAAUCAAUAAUCGAGGGUUUGAUCCUUACUCUAGGUAUGGAGUAGUUUUAAAACUUGUGGCCAGUAUCUACCCCCUUAAUGGGCUUACAGAAUGUGAAAGAUUAGUUAUCGGGCUUGCUUAGGUAGAUAGAUUGAGAAAUCAAAAAAAAAUUACACAAAAUAUUUUGACUUAUGUGUCUAAUAGCAAAGCAAUUUUGACCCGAUAAGAUAUAUAUAAUUAUACUUAAAAAAAUAUAAAAUAUAUGUCCUAAAAUUAAAAUAUAUUAUUAUAUUAAAAUAUUUUUUGUAAAUUAAAAUAUAUUAUUAUUGCAUUAAAAUAAUUUUUGUAAACUUGUAUAAAAAAUAAUUUCUUAAAUCAUGUACAUGUGUUUAAAAAACUAUAAGGUAAUUAGUAAUUUAUUGUAAUUACUCGCGUAAUUACCCCAACUCUCAACCCCUAAAAAUUGAAUAGCAUAAUUGAGGUGCUAAAAUUACAUUCAAUUUAGUGAACCCACAAAUCACAAUGGUUUUCUAAACACGCCACACAUUUGCAAUAGCAAGUAAUUGCACUCAAAUCUAAUAUUUGCAUGAAAUAUUUGAAUUUAUAUGUCUAAUAGCAAAGCAAUUUUGACCCAAUAAGAAAUAUAUAAUUAUAUUUUAAAAAUAUAAAAUAUAUGUUCUAAAAUUAAAAUACUUUAUUAUUAUAUUAAAAUAACUUUUAUAAAUUUGUAUAAAAAAUAAUUUCUUAAAUCAUGUACGUAUGUUUGAAAAACUAUAAGGUAAUUAGUAAUUUAUUGUAAUUACUCGCAUAAUUACCCAACUCUCAACUCUCUAAAAAUUAAAUAGUAUAAUUGAGGUGCUAUAAUUACAUUUAAUUUAAUGGACCCAUCAAUAACAAUAGUUAGUCAAACAUACUAUACUUUUAUAAUAGCAAUUAAUCACACUCAAAUCUAAUAAUUAAUUUAUAUUGAAAUCUUCAAAAUCAUAUACUUUGUGGUCCAAGUUAAACUGAUUUUUUUUUUCAAAACAAUUGCAAAGAAAAUUCAUGAAAUUAAGUUGUUUUCAAAUAAUUAAUUCACAUUGGGAUUUUCAAAUAAAAUGUCACAUUAAUAAUAUUUCAAUCAUUAAAAUAUUAUGUAAGACAUUUUGCUUAUACAAGAAAUAUGAAAAAUUCUAAAAUUUAAUCCAGUUUAAUCUGCUGAAGGAAAUGACUCUAACACUGACCUAAUUCAAUUAAGCCUCUGAAAUUAGCUUAACUUCAUAAAACUUAAUCCAGUUUAGUCAUUCUAAAGUCUCUAAUUUUGUUUAAAAGAGUUUUUAAAUAUAUAAAUGAUUUUAAAUUUGUAUGUUUUAAUAUGAAAUUCAUUAUAUUGUAGUAAGAUUUAAUGUGGCAUGUUUAAAAUUUUAAUUUAACUCAAAUAAUUUCAUUUAAUUUGGCUCGACUCAAAUUUUAUUUCACUUGAUUCGAUUUGAAAAAAAAUUCAAAUUGAAUUAGAAUGAUAAAAUGAGACUCGUCAACUCGAAAUUAUUUUACUCGAUUCGAUCCAACACUCACCCUUAGUAAUUGCAUCAUUGAUACUAAUAACAACAUAAAAAAUGUAUACUUAUCUUUUCUAAUCAAUAUGCAGGCACGAAAUGGAAAUUUCCAUGAGAAAGAAGUAUAUCGCGUAUGAAAAAGUAAGUUCCAUGACAUCGGCUGAAGCAAUAACAACAAAUGCAAAAAGACAUUGACUCCUAUGGAAAUCCAUCAGUUUGGAAACUAUAACGUAUAUGCUACGACUCGGUGUUUUUUGGUGUGUCACCCGUUAGACUUUCAAUUAUGUUGGUAAUAAAUAUAAUCUAUUUCAAUUAAAAAAAUGAGUAGAAUUUAGUAAUUCAUUAUGACCCAAAUUAUUGGUGAAGUUAAAAUUAAAAUUUUUUCGACAAAAACUUUCAGUACUUAGUACUUAUGUGUAAUUCAAAUCUUUCCAUUAUAUAUCCCAAAUAAGUUAAAAGGCAUGGCGUGGUGUCUACCUUUGCUUAUCCAUGUCAGACUUGCAAUUCUUUAUAUUAACCUUAAUUAUCGGCCUUCAUAAAAAGAUGUGUAAUUAUACAAGUCAAGAGCAAAAAAGAUAUGUUCUCUCAUAUCACUUGGAGUGAUGAGUCCUUUCUGAACCACUCCAUCACCUUCGUAUGUCAUACCAUAUUUAAAACAUUACUUUAAGCACCUAUCAAUGUGAAUCCAUUUGGUGAUGAAUCAAAGUAUGACGGUUAACACAUAAGGAGAGUUUGUGUAAGUCUAAAGAUUGUUUACACUACCAAUACAUGAGACUAUUUCUAUAGGCAUUUGAGUGAAAUACCAAAUGGAACUAUCAUAGCAGGUCAAGUUAUAUUUUAUAAUUUUUUCGAAACUUUUUAAAAAUUAUUCACAUUUUAUUUUUUAUAUUUGUAAUAAAUUUUAUAAUUUUUAUAACUUUUACAUUUUUAAAAUAUUCUAAUAACUUGACAAGCAACAUCAACAUACUUCCACAUGGCAUGUCACAUGUCAACUUGUCAUAGCUUCCGCCAACCACAUCAACAACCAAUAUUGAUAAAAUCAGUCAACAACCGUUUUCGUUAGCGAAAGGAGCCAAUUGAUUUUUUUCUCAUUGAAUGCUCGAUUGGGUCAAUUUUUUUAUUAUGAACUUGAUUGAUUUUUAACUUUUUACUAAGGUGUUUUUUACACUUUAACCUUAUAUUAAUAUUCAUUAUUUUAUUAAAAAACUUAUUUCUAAGUAAUUUUUCCGACCGAAUUGAUAUCGGAUUAACUCCAAUAAAAUAUAUUAUAUAAACAUAUUAAAAUAUAUCAAUAAAGAAAACACCAUUAAUUUGUUUGAAGUCUCGACUUUUUGAGUCUUAAUGGGUGAGAAAUUUCUUAUAUAGAAACUGAAGACGAUAUAUAAAGUAAAUGCCACAUUAAAAGCCCAAUUCUUUGGAAAAUAAAUUCCAUCACGACUGAACCAAAAAUUAAAAUAAAAUCUAUCAUAUUUAAUAUAUUAGUCCAAGAAAAUAAUCGAUAAUAUGAUUACUAAUAAAAAUAACAAGAAAAAUGAUUUAUGUUAGGUUAUAACAAUAUUUUUUUUUUUUUGAACAAUGAGAUUUUGACCUAGACUAUUCCUUGAAAAGGUGAAUACUCGACUAAUAGGCCACAACUUAAAAUUUUUUAAAUUAUAACCAUUUUUAUAAUACAUGAAUUAGGUUUAAAAUAGUAUAAAAUUUAUAAUAUAUACCAACUAUAUAAAAAAUUAUUUAUAAGGUGUCCAAUAACUUCCAAAACACUUCUUAUAAAUAAUAAAUAUUUUUAUCUUAAAAAGUUUUUUUUUUUAAAUAAGUCAUGGAAAAAAAUUAUAAUUGUUUUAUAAAUAAGUAUAUUUUUUUGUAUAACAUAUAGUAUGGACACAUAAAUAAGUUAUAUUUAAAUUUUUUGACCAUAACUUUUUUUUUUAUAAAUAAGUAUUUGCAUAAUAUAGUAUUUGCAUAAUAUAAUGUUUGCAUUAUUGAUACUAACAACAUAGAAAUUUCCAUGAAAAAGGCCUUGAAUCCUUUGAUGAAUUAAGUUCCAUGACAAGGACUGAAGCAAUGACGACAGCUGGCCCCUGCAACUAUUGCAACAAGACCUUGAAUCCUUUGAUGAGUUCCUUUAAAUUCAUCAGUUUGGAAACCAUAACAUAUAUGCUACCACUAAAUCCUUACCAGAUUAAACAUGGCCCCAUCCUUAACCAUUUCUGUUAUUCUAGGGGUACUGUGGGCCACCAUCCUUCUUUCCUUUGCUACAACUGUGACAGCAGCAUAUCCAUCGCCAUUGGAGUCCGAAGCCAUAGCUCUGCUAGAAAGCAGGUGGUGGAGUAACCAUAGCAGCAAUACUUCACAACGUUGCCAGUGGCCUGGUAUAACCUGCAACACUGCUGAAAGCAUCACCCAAAUUAACUUAUCUGAUGCGCCCAACAUUGAGGUUGGAGAUAGAUUUGGGAAACUGAAUUUCUCUUCAUUUCCAAAUCUUGUCCUUCUUGAUCUUAGUGAUCAUCAACUUAGAGGAAAAAUCCCGCAUCAGAUAGGUGAUCUAUCAGCAUUGAAGUACCUUGACUUGUCCAAUUGUGGUUUAUCUGGUGAGUUACCUCCUUCUCUAGGGAAGCUGACCCAAUUAGAAUUCCUCGACAUGUCCUAUAAUGGUAAUAUUAAUGGUUCCAUCCCUCCACAAUUGGGGAACCUAAAGAACCUCGUGACUUUAAACUUAAGGCAAUGUGGAAUUGUUGGUCCAAUCCCUUCUGCUUUGGGUCAAUUAAUCAAUCUCCAAUCUCUGAUCCUUUCGGGGAACCAAAUCAAUGGAUCUAUCCCAUUAGAAAUUGGAUAUUUGAGAAAUUUGACUUAUUUGAGUCUCUCCAACAAUAGAAUUGUUGGUCCAAUCCCUUCUGCUUUAGGUCAAUUAACCAGUCUCCAAUCUCUGAUCCUUUGGGGGAACCAAAUCAAUGGAUCUAUCCCAUUAGAAAUUGGAUAUUUGAGAAAUUUGACUUGUUUGGAUCUCUACAACAGUAGACUUGUCGAUUCAAUACCAAUUACUCUGUACCAAUUAACCAAUUUGGAAAUUUUGUACCUUGAUAAUAACCAACUUCAAGGUUCAAUCCCUUCUUGUGUUGGUAGUUUAUCAAAGAUGCAGUACUUAAGCCUUGAUUCUAAUCUAUUAAAAGGUCCUAUUCCCCAAGAAAUUUGUAAUCUAGCAAAUUUAACUUCAUUGUACCUCUCCCAAAACAAAUUGACAGGUUCAAUCCCUUCUUGUAUUGGUAGCUUAUCAAAGAUGCAGUACUUAUGACUUGAUUCUAAUCUAUUAAAAGGUCCUAUUCCCCAAGAAAUUUGUAAUCUAGCAAAUUUAACUUCAUUGUACCUCUCCCAAAACAAAUUGACUGGUUCAAUCCCUUCUUGUAUUGGUAGUUUAUCAAAGAUGCAGUACUCAAGCCUUACUUCUAAUCUAUUAAAAGGUCCUAUUCCCCAAGAAAUUUGUGAUCUAGCAAAUUUAACUUCGUUGUACCUCUCCCAAAAUAAAUUGACUGGUUCAAUCCCUUCUUGUAUUGGUAGUUUAUCAAAGUUGCAGUACUUAAGCCUUGCUUCUAAUCUAUUAAAAGGUUCUAUCCCAAAAGAAAUUGGCAAGCUUUUUGAUCUAUCAAAUCUAAACCUUAGCUUCAACCAACUCUCAGGUCCUAUCCCUAUCUUGUCUGCUACUCAUCUCUACAUUGUCGACGCUGGAAAUGGUUGUCAAAAGAUUUUUCCCGAUCCAUUUGAAGGCAAUAGUGAUUUAUCACCCUAUAUGUGUCCUACUCCAGUUACCAAAAAAGCCAACAGCAGCAGAAUUCCUUACCAUUUCAAAAUAUUCCUCCCUAUUGCGAUCUUAUUCACAAUCUCCAUUUUAGGAUGUUUGCUAUUUUCACGGUUUAAGCUCAAGAAUAACCAUGUCAACGUACAACCAACCAAGAAUGGGGAUUUGUGUUCCAUAUGGAACUAUGAUGGAAAGAUAGCAUACGAGGAUAUCGUUGCAGCAACAGAGGAUUUCGACUUCCGAUACUGUAUUGGAGUUGGUGGUUAUGGUAGUGUUUACAAAGCAGAACUCCCUUGUGGUAAAGUAGUUGCUUUGAAGAAACUUCAUCAUUUAGAAGCCGAAAAUCCAACUUUUGACAGGAGUUUCAGGAACGAGAUCAAGUUUCUAUCAGAAAUACGACAUCGAAACAUUGUGAAGCUUCACGGGUUUUGUCUACACCGACGAUCCAUGUUUUUGAUCUAUGAAUACAUGGAAAAAGGGAGUUUGUUCUGCAACCUAAGGGAUGAAGUGAAUGCUGUGGAAAUGGAUUGGACGAAAAGAGUAGAGAUCAUCAAAGGCAUAGCACAUGCUUUGUCUUACUUGCACCAUGAUUGCUGCCCUCCGAUAGUUCAUCGAGACAUAUCAAGUAACAAUGUUCUUUUAAACUCAAGUUUUGAGGCCUUUGUGGCCGACUUUGGAACAGCUAGAAUGUUGGAUCUUGAUUCAUCUUAUCGGACCAUUAUUGUCGGAACUUGUGGCUGCGUAGCUCCAGGUGGCGUUUUCUUUUUUUACUUGAUUUACUGACCUUUUCUCUGAACAUAUAAUUGAAUUUCUUCUUACUAAUUUGUGUAUGUAGAACUUGCUUAUACAAUGAUUGUCACCGAAAAAUGCGAUGUUUAUAGUUUUGGAGUGGUAGCACUGGAAAUAUUGAUGGGAAAGCAUCCUGAAGAAAUGUUAUCAUGGUUGUCAUCACCAACUUCUUUGGUAAACAUGAAGCUGAUUGAUGUGUUAGACAACCGUUUACCACUUCCAACAAGCCAACUAGUUACACAAAAUCUUGUUCAUGUUGCUACACUGGCUUUCGCUUGCUUAAAUCCACAACCGAAGUCCAGACCAACAAUGAAGGAAGUGUGUGAAGAGUUCCUUUCUCGCCAUACAUCCUUGGGAAUUCCUCUUCGGAUGAUCUCUUUGUUACAACUCAUGAACCGUGAAAUGCAUAUUGGAGGCAAAACUAAAACUUGUGGUGUUUGAAGUCCAUGCGCUUUUUGAUUAGAUACUGUUUAUCAUACUCUGAUAACUUGUUUGUAAACCAUCUCUGGUUUUAUAUAUGAUGGAAUGAAUUGCAAUGUUUAAUAAACCUGUUUAUUCGGUUGCUUUAGAAGACAUAAAUUCUGCAAUUUGAUCCAAAUAUUAAGACAUCAUCGCUGGCUGCUUCCUUGAAUUUUGUGCUUCUUUCAAACCAACUCAAAGAUAAAUAACAUAAAAGUAAAUUAAGGGUGAAUUUAUCAACCACUGCACAAGUAGUGUGUAUUUCUUUUGUUAUGCAUAUAAGCACAACUCCUCAUAUAUGAAUUAUCUACCAAAUACUCACGAAAGGCUUUUCAGAAAAUAGUAGUUAGUAAAGCCAUCCAGGAGGGAAUAUGCUACUAACGUGGAACGGGCAAAAUUACAUGGUAAAUAUGUCUUCAUGAGACUGCUGUAUUUCUUUAAGAACCAAAAGCACCAUAAGUGAAGGCAAAAUAGUUUAUUGUCUCAACUCUUUAUAUCCCCAUACCUCAUUGUGCAAUGAAUAAAGUACAUCAAGCAGGGAUUUGUCCCUGGCCAUAAAUAUAUCGCACUGGUCUUUGCUUUAUACAAAUUUCUUGAAACACAACUCUGAAAUUUUAAUAUUUGGAACCCCUAAGCUACCUGAAAUAACUGCAAGUUACCAUGACUAAAGUGCAUACAUACAUAUAUGAAAGUUUCUCAAGCAAUGAUAAGAUAAUUAAUUGCUAAAAAUCUUUAUUGAUUUUGUGGAGAGACAAUCAGACAAGUCAUGUCAGAUUAAUGAUGGGACAAAAAGGUUUUCUGGACUUUUAAAAGUUAUGAAUGCAUCUAUCAGGCUCAAGCAUUUCCAACAUCUAAUUUAUGGCUUACAUCUCAAAGCAAUGAAUGCAAAGCAUCAGGCUUAAAGAUCAUAAUAUGCACAAAAAAUGUAGUGGCCCUACAAGGUUUGCAUCAUGUCAUGCAUGCAUAGAUACAUUACAUUACUACAAGCAAAUUUACAGCUUUAUUGGUCUACAACACGGUAGCAUAAUUAGAAACUAUCAAACAUGUCGGAGCGUGCAUGUCUGAAUCUACAAAGGCAAAAAUAUACAGGUUUCUUCUCACUGCAGUAUAGUAUAAACAAACUUCUAUUGCCUGUAAAGGAUGGAAGAUGCUAACUCAAGCCUUACAACAGUGCAUACAUCACAAGAUGCAUGCGAGCCAAUGGUGCUUCAAGAGACAUGAAAAUUUACACAGUUAGAAUCUUCACGUUUACCCCGAAAAUUCAGACUUCAAACAAUAGAAAAUGGUAGACGAACUAGCUUUUAUAGUGUCAAACAUGCUGCAUUACAACAAAAUAUUCAGAUUGUUCUUCUCCGGUAAAACAAAAGGUUAACAUUUAGGGAUUAAAACAAACGGAAAAUGAAAAAAUAAUUGGAAACAGACUAUUAAACAAAAUAAUUUCCAAUAUAUAUAUGCUAAAUAAAAACCCAAAAUGGCAAUCGGUCUUGAAUCCCAAUCACUUAACAAUUCAAGAAACAAAUUCCAAUUCCAAAAAAUCCCAGUCUCUUAACAAAACAAAAACCAAAUAUACCAAAUACCCUUUCCCUUACACACAAAAGCUAAUUCAAGAGAUUACCAAAAAAAACACUAAUUCAAGAACCAAGCUUGAAAAACAACCAAAACCCCCAAUUAAAAUCUUGGUCAGCUUACCCUGAAAAAUCACAUAGAAAGAGAAAAAGAGAAACUCACAUGUGGCCAUGGAGAAAGCAACGAAUUUACAGAGUAACCAAAAUACAAUAACUUUGAAGAACAAAAAUAAUCAGGGAAAUAACAAAAGAGAAAAGCAAUAAGUUAAACCCCAUGAAGGAAAUUCCAACUGCUCAUUUACAGAGUAAUCAAAAUAAAAUAUAGUGAUAUAACUUGAUAGGAUUGGAAAGCUAGAUUUUGAAGUUUCUUCAAAAUGCAGACUUGGUAAGGACGACGAGAUAACAAGACUCGGAUUCGGAGAUGAGGCCAACGAAUAGAGAUGAGGAGGAGAGGCGGAGGCUGAUGGACAAAGAGGAAGGAGAACGACUGUUGUGAUGAGAGUGGAGGAAAAUGGAAAAUGUCUUACCGAAAUAAAAUUGGUAAGAAGUUUUCCAUAAAAGGCCGUUUCAUUUACCCUUGGUUUAGAAAAUGUUUUCUGAAGUAAUUUAUUUUUCAUCAAACAAAUACAGUAAAAUAAAAAAAAAUAUUUUACGGAAAAUAUUUUACUAAUAAAUAAACAGAGCCUAAGUAUUGCAUUGCAAAAGAUAUAAUAUCACCCAUAUCAACAAUAUAAACGGACAGACAUAUUAAAAUUUAAAUUUAAAUUCAUAAAAAUUUAUGUACUUAUAUUCAUGCAUUUAUUCAAACACAAGAAAGAUAUAUAAAUUUACAAGAACCAACACGAUGUCAAAUCAAUAUAAUUCCUUCCUUCAAUACAAACAUCGUGUGACAUCAACCAACAUAAAGAAGAUAACAAAAAGUAUGGCCUAGUUUCAGCACUCUUUUAAGGCAGUUACUAAAAGUUGUUUUCAACCAAGUUAAAAAGCAUAUCAAGAAAUCAAGUUAAGGAGGACUUCGAAUGAAAGUUGACAAGAAAUUUUGCAGAGAUGGAUGUACUAUCCACGAUCCGUUCUAACAAUUUGAUCUUUAGUCUUACCUUCUAUUAUAAGAAUGAGUAGCCUUUGUUUCUGGCAAUUUUUGAUUGGUUCCAAUACUCACUAAUAAGAAAGAUUUUUAUUUUCUGAAUACGUAUAUAACCUGAAUCCAUUCUAUAUCAACAACAACGAUAAUACACAUGAUGGAGUGAUAGAUUACAAGUUUCCAUACAAGAUUUCACACAUACAAUAAAAGAAAAAUAAGUGAAUUAAUUCCAUCUAAAAUGAAAUUAAAGAAAGCCAAAACUAAUGCAGUAGAACAGAUAAUUGAGAAUGUAGAAUUUUCUUAUAUUAGUUCCAUCUGUUUAAAAAAAAAAAGAUUGCAAGGUAAAUCAGUAGUAAGAAAGAAAAAUAUGGAAUACCCACAAAGGGAUUGCGAACAAACAAGCCGAUUUAGAUCAAAAAAAUCAGAUUGAGAAACCAAUUAUUCAAGAACCGUGAAAGAACUGGAAAAUAUAAUGGUUAGGAACAAAAACGAUUACCCUCUUUUUAUUUGUCAACAACCACUUGAUUUUAAGUCUUUGAACAUAAAUUUAUCGACAAAGAAGACAUACUUGGACCCUCCAUUGAAUCCAUCUUUUGUUUUUCUAUGUUGAAUAAAAAAUUCAAUCGAAACACACAAUCUGAUUUCUACUAUUUUGAUUCAAUACAGAUCAUAAUAGUUUUUUCAGUCAAAUGAAAAAGAAAACUAUUUUUCCUAUUUUAUGGAAAAUUAUCCUUUUUUGUAUAAUUAUAGGUGUUUCAUCUAUUUUAUGGUCCUUACAGUGCUGACACGACCGUUAACAACAUUAACGUGGCGCUUUAUGUCAGCAAUAGUUAGCUACAAUGUCAGCAAAAAUAAAAAAAAUAAAAAUUAAAAGGAAUAUUUAAAUUUAUUUUACUAGAAUGAACCUAAACAUAUAGUUGUCCAAGUUCAUUCGUUUCAAAACUUAAAUUUUUUUUAAAUUUAAAAAAAUUAAGUUUUUUAUAAAUGUGUACAACACUAUUAAAAUUUAAUAAAAAUAUUUAAAACUUAAGUCCCUAAUGAAUAUGUCCAAAUUCAUUCAAGAUUAGUUUCAAAUAUACUAAAAUUAAUUUUCUUUAAAAAUUGAUAUGUGUGUCAAUAUUUUUCUAUUGCUACCUCUUAGGAUGAAUAAUAUAUAUAUAUAUAUAUAUCAAUUUAAAGAAUUUAAAUUUUAUUAAUCAUACUUCUAAAGAUUUUUUAAAUGUAUGAAUAUAUCCAAUUAAAACAGUGUAUCUAUUAUUUCAUUACAUGUGUAGCCUAAAAGGUUUAAAAAAUUAGAUAUAUUCAUACAUUUAAAACAACUUUACACAAACAAUUAAUAAUAUUUAUUUUUAUUUAUUUUCUGAAAUAUAUUUUUUUUAAUUUUUAUACAUUCUAAAAUGUACCAAUGGAAUUAGAACAUUGAUACACGUAUCAAUUUUUUUAAAGAAGAUUAAUUUUUAAUAUUUUUUAAACUUUGUACAAUUUAGAAAAACUUGAAUGAAUUUAGACAUAGAAUUAACUUGUAAUUGGUUUUUAUUAAUUUUUAUUUUUUUAAUUUAUUUAAUAUUUUAUAAAUUUUAAUAAUAUUUUAAAAUUUUAUAAAAUUUUAAAAAACAUUAUUUUUUAAAUAUUAUUUUUAAUUUAAAAAUUUUUUAAGCUUCGAAACAAAUGAACUUGGUACUGCGACAUCAACAACUAUUCCUUUUAAAAAUUUUAAAUAUUCCAUUUAAUUUUUUUUAUUUUUGUUGACAUGGCAGUUGACGUGGUAUUGCCACAUAAGCAACUAUCGCUAACAUGAAGCACCACGUUAACGCUGUUAAUGGCCACGUCAACGUUGUAACGGUCAAUAUUAGUCAAAGGGCCUAUUUGGCCAAUUUUGUUAGUUCAUGGGCUCAAUUGGGUGCAAAAAGUUUGCAAGGGCUUAAUUGAUUUUUUUGAAAAAGUUUGAGGACCAAAAAUACCAUUAAACCCUUCUUUAACUAUUGAUAUUUCUUUUUCUAAGUAUCGGUCAACAUUAGUUAAAGGACUUAUUUUGUCAGUUUUGUUAGUUUAAGGGCUCAGUUGGGUGCAAAAAGUUUGCAGGGGCUUAAUUAUUUUUUCGAAAAAGUUCGACAAUCAAAAAUACCUUUAAGCCCUAGUUUAACUAUUGAUAUGUCUUUUUUAAUUAAUUUUGCAUUCGUGCAUAGUAUAGGCACACGAUGUAUGGGGUAUUUCCACGUAUACAUGUAAAGUGUAUUUUGAUGCCACGGCGAAAUUAGAUGAAAAUGUGAUUAUUAAGGUAGUAAUGUAACCUUCUAGUGUCACGGGCCUCAGUGCAAAGCCCGUGACCAUGGCACAAGAUGCGCCCCAUGGAGGUCUAUCAAUAAGAUGAGGAACAUUUAGCCCACAAGAGCUGGCCCGAUUCAGAUAACUAUUGGAGAAGCCUAUCAGAUUGAAGCCUGGUUGGCCCAAUGAUGAAAACAUGGCAACUUAGGCUAAUAUGGUAACUAAUCUUAGAAGAUAGAGAUAAUCAUAUCUUGUAAAGAUUAGAUUUGAUUUGAUAUAGCAUAUCUUGUAAAAUCCCUAAAAUUAAGGGAUAUGGUUAAUCUUGUCCGUCGAUGUAAAUGUAUCUUGACAGUCGAUUUUGGGGGAGCUCAACUAUAAAUAGAGAGCCUCCCCCUCAUUUGUACUCAUUCCAUUGUAUUCUGAAUUCUUAAGAGUAAUAGAGUUCUGAGAGCAUUUACUCAAACACCUUGUGUGCAUUCUUUUUUUUGGCUUUCUAUUGUUCUUUGACUUAGCUUCUUUUGGCCUAAAUCGUUUCCGCUCUUCAAUUGGUGCCUUGGAGGAGUUCUUAAGGAAUCCUCAUUUGAGUUAAGGCUGACUUAGGCGAGUUUGGACGAACGGAUCACCUAAGGCCACACGGGUUGCGAGACGAAAACUCUAGCCCCGUGACAAGUGGUAUUAGAGCAAGGUUUGAACCAAGUAAUAUCUGAGUUGUUGGUUCAAAGGCACUGUUGGGAUGUCGAAAGAAGUUGUUGGUCAGAAUGAGCCAAUGGAGACCCGAGGAAGGGCCAGAAAUGUGAGUCGAUCAAGGGACUUAUUGUCAGCUUUAGAGGAUCGAGUUGUCACUCUCGAAGAGUCCAUGGGGGACGUCAAGGAAAGGAUCGACGAUGUCGAUGAUAGACACAAUGAUGGGUUACGAACAUUACAGGAACAACUCAGGGAAUUUGUGUGGGACACUAUCGGUUCCUCUGAGAAUAAGCUGGCUGAAAAGAACGAUGCUCUCGAGGCUAUGGUGACAGCCUUGAAGGAGGAGAUCAAUGAGCUUAAGAGGGAGCUCAAGAUUUUCAAGGCUGCCAUAGGGAAUGGAAUGUUGGUUUUAAAUCUGAAGCCACAAGCAAUGGAUAUGCCCAAGCCGAAGGCGUUUAAAGGGGCAAGGUCUGCAAGUGAAGUGGACAACUUUUGUUGGGCCAUGGAGCAAUACUUUUGUGCGAUGAACAUCGAAGAUGAUGUCACAAAGGUAAACACUGUUGCUAUGUAUUUCACUGAUGUUGCUUUGUUAUGGUGGCGACGUAGGUCCACUGAUGUGAGACGUAGUGGGACCGAGAUUGGGACUUGGAAGGAGUUCCAAAGUGAAUUUAAAGUACAGUUUUACCCCGAGUAUGCCGAGGACGAAGCUCGAGCAAAGUUGCGACGGCUAAUGCAACGAGGCACGGUUAAGGAGUAUGUACAGGAGUUCAGUAAACUCAUGCUCCAAAUCUCUGAUUUGAGCGAGAAGGAAGCAUUUUUCUCCUUUACAGAUGGGCUGAAACCAUGGGCGAAGCAAGAAUUGCACCGUCGAGGAAUUUAGGAACUUACCAAUGCCAUAAUGGUAGCGGAGUCCAUAGUGGAACUUGCUCCGAGAAGGGACAGGUUUGAAUCUUCCAAGCCCAGCAGGAGGGGCAAUGGUGGGUAUCAUGAGGAGGAUGAAGAGGGACAAAGCUAUGAUGGCAACGCAAGUAGUAGCGAUGGUGAUGAUAGGAAACCACAAGUUGGGAAGAAGAAACCCAAGAGGAAAAGAGACAAGCUGAAAUGCUUUCUCUGCGACGGUCCACACAUGUUGAAGAAUGUCCAAAAAAAUCCGCGCUUAAGGAGAAGCCGGUGGGAAAGGCCUUGGUACUUGGUUCAAGUGCAAGGGGUGUCGAAGCCAAGGAGGCCGAAAGCGAGAAAAAGCCAGUGGAGUUCUUCUUGCGUCAUGGUCUGUAUAGGUUGCGGAAGUGUCCAAGGAAGUCUAUCAUCGAUGGGAAUGAUGGAGUAGACAAAGAGCCCAAGAAGCUUGGUUCGAGCAAGGGAAAAGCCGAAGCCAAGAGGGCAAAGAGGAGCAAAAAGAAGCGAGUAAAGUGCUUCUUGUGCCGUGGUUCGCAUGAGAUACAGAACUAUCCAAAGCAAGCCAGAGUAAAAAGAAAGGCAACGUCUGAACUUGGUGAGUCAUCAGAGGGACUUCCACUUAAGGAAGAGGUGAGUUUGUCAUCGGACUUAGAGGAAAGAGUUACGAUGAAAACAGUGAAGUUGGGACCAAUGAGGCUCAAGUUGAGUAAAGCGUCGGAGUUGGCCGAGUCAUCGACUAGGCUUCCACCUAUGGGAGAGGUGGGUGGUGCAUCAGACUUCAAGGGAAAAGAAGUGAUGCAUGUGGGACAGUUGACCAGAGUAAAUACGAAGGUACAUUUCGAACACUGUGAUAGUGUUUUGCAUUCUAACUUGUUGACUUGGCAAGAACGUAGGGGCCCUUUCGAAGUUCUUGAGCAGAGAGGCCGAGAGACUGUGGGUAAAGCGAAGCCAAGUGUGGUGAAUCAAGAGGAUUCUGUUCGAGCAAAGUUAGAAUGUGGACAAGAGAGUGACAUAACUUCUUGUCAUCGAGAUGCACAAACGAGUAGGACGGUUCGAGUGAAGAAGUGACGUAAGCCGAAGCAAAAGUCCCGAAAGAAGGAAAAGGCUAAGGCGUUGAGACGAGAUCGAGGCGAAUCAAGCCAGUGCCAUUCGGAAGUCGCAACAAGGACGUUGCGAGAAUGGGUGGGGGAGAAUGUCACGGGCCGCAGUGCAAAGCCCGUGACCAUGGCACAAGAUGCACCCUAUGGAGGUCUAUCGAUAAGAUGAGGAACAUUUAGCCCACGAGAGCUGGCCCGAUUCAGAGAACUAUUGGAGAAGCCUAUCAGAUUGAAGCCUGGUUGGCCCAAUGAUGAAAACAUGGCAACUUAGGCUAAUAUGGUAACUAAUCUUAGAAGAUAGAGAGAAUCAUAUCUUGUAAAGAUUAGAUUAGAUUUGAUAUAGCAUAUCUUGUAAAAUCCCUAAAAUUAAGGGAUAUGGUUAAUCUCGUCCGUCGAUGUAAAUGAAUCUUGACCGUCGGUUUUGGGGGAGCUCAACUAUAAAUAGAGAGCCUCCCCCUCAUUUGUACUCAUUCCAUUGUAUUCUGAAUUCUUAAGAGUAAUAGAGUUCUGAGAGCAUUUACUCAAACACCUUGUGUGCAUUCUUUUCUGUGGCUUUCUGUUGUUCUUUGGCGUAGCUUCUUUUGGCCUAAAUCGUUUCUGCUCUUCAAUUGGUGCCUUGGAGGAGUUCUUAAGGAAUCCUCAUUUGAGUUAAGGCUGACUUAGGCGAGUUUGGACGAACGGAUCACCUAAGGCCGCACGGGUUGCGAAACAAAAACUCUAGCCCCGUAACACUAGUAAACGUAAAGAAUUAUAAUUUUUCUAGAUGCAUUUGGCUAGUAGAGUAUAAUUAUAUUGUAAUUCUUUGUGCCUUGUUUAGUAAUAUAAAUUGUAAUUGCACAUUUACAAAUUUUAAAUUGUUUAAAAAGUAUUAAUUACUAUAAAUAGUUAUCAGUAAUACCUGAGAAAAAAUUUUAAACAAGUGACAUAAAUUAAAAUCAAAUCAUGUUCUGUUAGUCCAAGAAAGUAACCGACAACACGAUUGCCGAUAAAAAAGAACAAGAAAACUAAACAUCAUAUGCAACUUUAUUAUUGCUCUAGCAUUCCAUGUUUGUUGGGUUAUUCCUUUUCUAACAUUUAACAUAUACUUCUUAUCAUCAUCUAUUAGUUCUUGACCAAUUUCUUCAUUGUUGAUACAAGGUACAACAAUGGAGGGGAGUAAGGAGGAUGUAAGGUGGAGUGAGUGGUGGAAAAGUAUUAAUAAGAGAGGUUCUCUUGUCCAUUAGCAUGACAUGGCAGGAUAAAUGUUCAGUCCCACCAAAUGUGUAAAGGAUAUUCAUGAACAUAAAGGAUAUUCAUGAUGGGGGCACGUUAUGUUACUCAUUCGAUCAGUACAAGGUUAAUACGCCCAUGCAAGUCCUAAUGGCCUCAAGGAUUUGUUCACACCAAAAAAAAAAGGGUGCUAGCCUUUCUAAAGGGUUGGUGCUCCUUUGAUCUUAGUGGAUGGUUCAGCGAGACAUCUUCUUAGGCAGACUCAAUGAGAGGGUUAAUGUUGUCUAUACAGUUGACACGUGUCCAUGUGGCGGGGGUAUAAAAUUCAUCAUCUAAAUCAAAUUUUGAAUAUGCAUAAUUAAGAUUAUCCAGAUCAUUUUUUUUAUCUGUAUCAUUAAGACUAUCAAGAUCUAUUUUUUUUCCAUGUAUUGAUUGAAAGCAUUGAUAAUUCCAAUUCCACCUAUAAAUGGAAUUGUGAAGUAUACAACAAGUUCGAACGAUUGAACAUUGUUUUUUAGACUAUAUUGAUGUGGUUUGUUAAUAUGGGAAAUAUUUUUUUAGAACAAGAAAUAUCCUCUCAACCACAUUUCAAAGCUUUGAAUAAAGAGUUUGCGAGCCUUGUUUGGUACUUGUGUCUAGCUGUGUUCGUUCAAAUGAUAUCGUACCCCAUAAUAUACUGCAAGAAAACCUUUUGCAAUUGCAUAAUCAACAUCUACCACAUAAUAUUUCCUAAAAACAUGUAACAAUUUAAAUAAUUUGUGAGACAAAUAAAAUAACAGCAAGGUGAUGAUAAUAUUAAUGUAUUUAUGAAAUACAAUUUUGAUCUAUUUUCUCUCCCAAACAUCAUUCUUAGCAUUCUAGUAUUUGAGGCACAAAUCAACUUUAAAAUCCUUCAAUUAUAAUAGUUUUUAUAAAUCCAAUUUGCGGUUUACUAUGUGUUCAAAUAAUAAACCAAAUUAGAUAAAAUAAAUAAUAUAAAUUUUCUAAUAUAACAUUUAUAAACAAUGUUUUCUAUAAAGUGUUGAAUAGCUUUUAUGGUGCUUAUGUUAAAGUGCUCAAAUAUGUGGCCAUACAAGAAUAGUAUAAAAAUUAUAAUACAUGCUUUAUAAGCACAAUUUGUUAGGUUAAAAUUUGUUUUAUAAAACAUAGGAGUUAAGUGAGAUGAAAAGGGUUUCUCCUACCUCAAUCAGUAAUUGAGGGUUUGAUACUGUAUUGGAGUUGGUGGUUAUGGUAGUGUUUACAAAGCAAAACUCCCUUGUGGUAAAGUAGUUGCUUUGAAGAAACUUCAUCAUUUAGAAGCCGAAAAUCCAACUUUUGACAAGAGUUUCAGGAACGAGAUCAAGUUUCUAUCAGAAAUACGACAUCGAAACAUAGUGAAGCUUCACGGGUUUUGUCUACACCGACGAUCCAUGUUUUUGAUCUAUGAAUACAUGGAAAAAGGGAGUUUGUUCUGCAACCUAAGGGAUGAAGUGAACGCUGUGGACAUGGAUUGGACGAAAAGAGUAGAGAUCAUCAAAGGCAUAGCACAUGCUUUGUCUUACUUGCACCAUGAUUGCUGCCCUCCGAUAGUUCAUCGAGACAUAUCAAGUAACAAUGUUCUUUUAAACUCAAGUUUUGAGGCCUUUGUGGCCGACUUUGGAACAGCUAGAAUGUUGGAUCUUGAUUCAUCCAAUAAGACCAUUAUUGUCGGAACUUAUGGCUACGUAGCUCCAGGUGGCGUUUUCUUUUUUACUUGAUUUACUGACCUUUUCUCUGAACAUAUAGUUGAAUUUCUUCUUACUAAUUUGUGUAUGUAGAACUUGCUUAUACAAUGAUUGUCACCGAAAAAUGCGAUGUUUAUAGUUUUGGAGUGGUAGCACUGGAAACGUUAAUGGGAAAGCAUCCUGAAGAAGUGUUAUCAUGGUUGUCAUCACCAAGUUCCUUGGUAAACAUGAAGCUGGUUGAUGUGUUAGACAACCGUUUACCACUUCCAACAAGCCAACUAGUUACACAAAAUCUUGUUUAUGUUGCUACACUGGCAUUCGCUUGCUUAAAUCCACAACCGAAGCCCCGACCAACAAUGAAAGAAGUGUGUGAAGAGUUCCUUUCUCGCCAUACAUCCUUGGGAAUUCCUCUUCGGAUGAUCUCUUUGUUACAACUCAUGAACCGUGAAAUGCAUAUUGGAGGCAAAACUAAAACUUGUGAUGUUUAAAGUCCAUGAGCUUGUUGAUUAGAUAUUGUUUAUCAUGCUCUGAUAAUUUGUUUGUAAACCAUCUCUGGUUUUAUAUAUGAUGGAAUGAAUUGCAAUGUUUAAUAAACCUGUUUAUUCGGUUGCUUUAGAAGACAUAAAUUCUGCAAUUUGAUCCAAAUAUUAAGACAUCAUCGCUGGCUGCUUCCUUGAAUUUUGUGCUUCUUUCAAACCAACUCAAAGAUAAAUAACAUAAAAGUAAAUUAAGGGUGAAUCAAAGCAACAAAAUGCAAUCAAUACAUACAUCAAGAAUUCACCUCAACUAUCUAUAAUUCAUGAAACAAUCUCUCAACUUAUAAAAUGUAAGUGAGAUUCCACAGACCUGAUAUCCAAACUCAAAAGCAAUAAAAGGCGUCAUCAGAACCCUGGCAAGUGAAGACGACAUUCUUUUCAAGCAAGGUAGCGAUACAACUUCCUGUCACCUUUAUCCCUCUACAGGAACUCACAUUAGUAUACAUUUUUAUUUAACAUAUUAUAUAAAUUACACUUUAUAAAUCAAAAAAACAAAUGAAACUCUGAGUAUUACAUAUAUAAUAAUAUACUGCAUAUUUCCUAAAAAAUGAUAAUAUACCGCACAUGUUACAAUGCAUUUUCAAAAAAAAGAAAAAGAAAUGUGACCAUAAUAUAUAAUUUAUAUUACAAACAAAGGUACUCAUAUUUUAUAGUUCAUCAUUUUUAAUGUUUGGGACUGUAGUCGGCCAUCACGAUUUGGUUGGUAACAAAUGAAUAUAUUAUGGAUAAACUAUUAUAGAGUUUACAAAAUUACUGCUUUUUAGUCACUCGAUUAUAAAAAGUUAUAAAAUAGCCAUUUAAUUAUUAUUAAAUUACAUUUUUGAUUAAAUGCAAAAAGUACAUAUCUUAUGUAAUUUAAUUGGUCAAAUUAUGAGAAUGAACCAUUGAUUUUCUCCAUGUUUAUAUUAAAUUUUAUACAGGGGUGCAAUUUGGGGUCAAAAGAGAAAAAGGAGAAGCAAUUGGGCUAGAUUGAAGAAAGGAGCAAAGAAGGCGAGCCAAAACAGAAUUUUUCCAAGUUGUAAUUAGCUGAAAUUUUAUUUUGACUUAGUGGGGGAUUAUGUAGAGAUUUUGAUAUCGUAGGAAUAUGUUUUUUUCCUUGAUUUUCUAUGGCUAGUGGCCUUUAAUUUGGCAAAUUUGUUCAAAGCCACUAGUAUAAAUAGAGGGCUACUAUGUUCAUUUAAUCAUCAAGUUUUUCAAUCAAGUUUUUAAUCAAGCUUUUAUCUUUUGAAUUCAAUCUUCUUUCCUUUUUGCAAAUUUAUUUGCUGACAUUAAUUCCUUAUAUUUUUCCAUUUAUUAGUUUCCAGCUUUGGAACUACUGCACCCAAACCUUGCCUCACCCACAUACAUCCACUUACAUUUCUUUUUCAUUUAUCCAACCCUCUCCAAAUAUGCCCAACUCCAACAUGCCCCAAACCUAGUCAACUAAACCCAUUUCAGCUUUAGGUCGGUGUUAACUUCGUCUAGACCGGUGAGUUAUGAACCCGAGCAAUUUAAAUCCUGAAUUCUAGUAUUUAUUAUUUCUCUGGAUUAAGAGUAUGAUUUCAUCAACUCACAAAGUCAAAUCAACACUAAGUCAAAAAAGACGUCGUUUGAGUUAGUGUGGUUAGACGUACAAUUGGGAUUCCGAAAGGAUCGAUUGUCUAAUCAGUUUUCCGUGAACACAUUGGCGUGCCAAGUGGGGAUUCUUGUUUGGUUCCGUCAAGGGAAGUAGUAAUCGGAUUUAAAUGUCCCACGCGAUUGAGGGCAUUGGUUCGUGCUAAGCUCUUCUAGAACGCAAAGAUGUAGGAGUUCUAAAUCACGAACGUUUUGUAGGUUGUUUGAUCGGCAAUGGUUAGUUAUAGGACAUUUCAUAACUAAUUUACACAAGGAAGAGUUGGUGUCCGAGGUGUCUUUGGUAGCUAUAACUAGCUUAUUGGAAAAGAGAAGUUCAUCUAAUUUCGAGGAUCGGUUCAAAGACGGAAAAACUCAUGCCUGAAGCUGAGCUAAAUUUAAUUGAUUUUUCUUCAAAUUUACUUAACUGUUUUUAUUAUUUAAUUGUUUCCAGCUUUUACUUUUUACGCAUUUUUUCCCCUGUUUAUUUCAGGUUUCAAAUUUUAUCCCCCCAAAUUUCUUGGGCAUGACAACUUCCCAAACAUAAAUAUGGUCGAGAGAGAGAAACAAUUUUCAGUAAUCUAGUCUCUAAGGGAUUGAUCCUACUCCCUAUAUUGCUCAAAUUUGCAAAUUAGGUGUAGGAUUUUAUUGGUGGAAUCAACAACCAUCAGUUUUGGCGCCGUUCCCGGGGACUGGCAACACUCACAAUUGUUUAAAUCGUCUUCAUGACUAAAUCUUCAUCCAGAGAUCUCGAAUACGACCCAGAGAUUUGAGAAAUCAAAAUGAGCACGACGAAAAAAGACAGAAGCUCUUAAACAUGCAAGUAAAGAAAAAGUUGAGCUAGGACAAGGGAUCUUAGAAUCCGACGUCGAAAAGUUGAGCUAAGAAAUUCGGGCAGAGGCAAUUCAACGUGGGAAACAAGUCAAAGUGGUUGAACCUGAGACCGAACCACUUUUUGAAAAAAAGAAGCAGAAGACAACCUCGGUGAACCAGAAAGGAUGGAAAACCGAACCAUUCGUCAACUAGCCACAUAAGCAACUAUUCCUUUUAAAAAAUUUAAAUAUUCCUUUUAACUUUUUAUUUUUGUUGACAUGGCAGCUGACAUGGUAUUUCCACAUAAGCAACUAUCGCUAACAUGAAGCACCACGUUAGCGCCGUUAAUGGCCACGUCAAUGUUGUAACGGUCAAUAUUAGUCAAAGGGCCUAUUUGGCCAAUUUUGUUAGUUCAGGGGCUCAAUUGGGUGCAAAAAGUUCGUAGGGGCUUAAUUGAUUUUUUUUGAAAAAGUUCGAGGACCAAAAAUACCAUUAAACCCUUCUUUAACUAUUGAUAUUUCUUUUUCUAAGAAUCAGUCAACAUUAGUUAAAAGGCCUAUUUUGUCAGUUUUGUUAGAUUAAGGGCUCAGUUGGGUGCAAAAAGUCUGCAAGGGCUUAAUUGAUUUUUUUGAAAAAGUUCAACGAUCAAAAAUACCUUUAAGCCCUACUUUAACUAUUGAUAUGUCUUUUUUAAUUAAUUUUACAUUAGUGCAUAGUACAGGCACACUAUGUACGAGGUGUUUCCACAUAUACAUGUGAAGUGUAUUUUGAUACCACGGAGGAAUUAGAUGAAAAUGUGACUAUUAAGGUAGUAGUGUCACCUUCUAGUAAUUGCAAAGAAUUAUAAUUUUUUAGAUGCAUUUGGCUAGUAGAGUGUAAUUAUAUUGUAAUUCUUUGUGCCUUGUUUAGUAAUAUAAAUUGUAAUUACACAUUUACAAAUUUUAAAUUUUUUAAAAAGUAUUAAUUACUAUAAAUAGUUAUCAAUAAUACUUGAGAAAAAAUUUUAAAUAGGUGACAUAAAUUAAAAUCAAAUCAUGUUAUGUUAGUCCAAAAAAGUAACCGACAACACGAUUAUAUGCAACUUUAUUAUUGCUCUAGCAUUCCAUGUUUGUUGGGUUAUUCUUUUUCUAACAUUUAACAUAUACUUCUUAUCAUCAUCUAUUUGUUCUUGACCAAUUUCUUCAUUGUUGAUACAAGGUACAACAAUGGAGGGGAGUAAGGAGGAGAUAAGGUGGAGUGAGUGGUGGUUUUGUGGAGGCCAGUUCACUUAAAGAGGCAGAGAGCUAGAAAGGAAUAAGAGGACAAGCUGAUUGCUGAAAGAAAAGAUGGUUGUUCAGAGUAACUUUAAGGGUUGGAAAAUCGAUCCAUUCUUCAUCGUUGGAAAGGUAUUUAUAAAAGAGGCCCUCUUGUCCAUUAGCAUGAUGUGGCAAGAUAAAUGCUCAGCCCCACCAAAUGUGUAUAUUCACGAACAUGAAGGAUAUUCAUGAUGGGCCCUAUUCUAUUAUCCAUUCGAUCAGUACAAUGUUGUUACGCUCAUGCAAGUCCUAAUGGCCUCAAGGAUGUGUUCACACCAAAAAAAGGGGUGCCUAACCUUUCUAAAGGGUUGGUGCUCCUUUGAUCUUAGUGGAUGGUCCGGCGAGACAUCUUCUCAGGCAGACUCAAUGAGUGGGUUAAUGUUGUCUAUACUGUUGACACGUGUCCAUGUGGCGGGGGUAUAACAUUCAUCAUCUAAAUCAAAAUCUGAAUAUGCAUCAUUAAGAUUAUCUAGAUCAUUUUUUUAUCUGUAUCAUUAAGAUUAUCAAUAUCUGCUUUUUUUUUCAUGUACUGUUUAAAAGUAUUGAUAAUUCCAAUUCCACCUAUAAAUGGAAUUGUGAAAUAUACAACAAGUUAGAACGAUUGAACAUUGUUUUUCAGACUAUAUUGAUGUGGUUUGUUAAUAUGGGAAAUAUUUUUUUAGAACAACAAAUAUCCUCUCAACCACAUUUCAAAACUUUGAAUAAAGAGUUUACGAGCCGUGUUUGGUACUUGUGUCUAGCUCUGUUCUUUCAAAUGAUAUUGUACCCCGUGAUAUACUGUAAAAAAACCUUUUGCAUUUGCAUAAUCAACAUCUACCGCAUAAUAUUUCCUAAAAAACAUGUAACAAUUUAAAUAAUUUGUGAGAAAAAUAAAAUAACAGCAAGGUGAUGAUAAUAUUAAUGUAUUUAUGAAAUACAAUUUUGAUCUAUUUUCUCUCCCAAACAUCAUUCUUAGCAUUCUAGUAUUUGAGGCACAAAUCAACUUUAUAAUCCUUCAAUUAUAAUAGUUUUUAUAAAUCCAAUUUGCAGUUUACUAUGUGUUCAAAUAAUAAACCAAAUUAGAUAAAAGAAAUAAUAUAAAUUUUAUAAUAUAAUUGUUAUACCUAAUUUUAGCUCGGGCUCACAUAUGGAAACAUAUUUUUUGAGGAUAUGCAAUCUUAUAUAUGAUAUGCAAUCCUAGAUAUGAUAUAUGCAAUCUUAGAUAUGAUAUGCAAUCUUAGAUAUGAUGUAUAAUCUUAGAUAUGAUAUGCAAUCUUAGAAGAUAUGAUUUUGAAAUCUUAGAGAUACCCUUUAAUCUCAGCCGUUGAUGUAAUUGAUCUGUACCGUUGGAUUUGGGGAGGCUCAACUAUAAAUAGAGGCCUCUCCCUUCAUUGCAUGAGGAGAAAAAAAGAGGAAAGGGAGGAAUAAAAAAAGAGAACGAUUGACAGUUUUUUAAAGGUGGCUUACUAUUUUUUUCGUUUGAUUAUUUUGUACUUAUUUACAAUUUUAAAAAAGGAGAAGGUGAUACCACUACGAAUUUUAUUUAUUUAUUUUUUAUUUAGCCCCUCCGCCUUUUAAUGUCUUUAUAAUUAGGUUUUUUUUAUUUUUUUAAAAAUUUUGCCCUUUAAUUUAUUUUAAUUUCAAUUUAACCCUUCUUGAACGACACCGUUUUAGAGGAGAAGGGAAAAUUUCCCUUCCAGCCCCUUUAUGUAAUUCGCGUAUUCAAUUUAGUCCUCCAGACUUUAUUUAUUUGCGAAAUUACCCCAUAUUUUUUAUUUGUAAUCCAAUUUAGCCUUUUUUUCAUAUUUUCUUCAAAAAUCAAUAUUUUUUUGAUGAUGCAAUUGUUCUUAUCUUAUAAUUCUUAUCUGUAAUUAUUAUUAUAUUGUAUAUAUGUUUUUUAAAAAAACAUGUAGUUAUGCCUUUUUUUAAUUAGUAUUUUUUUCGCGUACUUAUAUAUAUAUAUAUACUUGUUUUAUUUAUUUAAUUAUCUUUGAUAUUAUUUAUUUCAAACCUAUGUAUUUUUAUGUGCACUUGUAUGUAUUUUUUGUUAUUUAUUUUAAUUAUUCGCUUAUUAAUUUAUGUUUGCAUAUUUUCUGCUCAUUUAUUUAAUAUCUUUUGCAUGUCAUUAUUUAUAUUCAAUUGUUUGUAUUAUUUCCAUGCUAUUAUUGUACUUGUUAUCAUUGUUAUUAUGACAUUUGCGCAUAUAAAAUAAUGUUACAUUAUUUUUUAGAAAAAACUCAAAUUUAAAAAUAUAAUUUUCAAAAUUGAGAUAAUACUCGUAUUUAGGAUUGCUCAAGGAAAUUGAGCCCUAACGUAUUGGGUUCCGAUUUUUUUGAAAAUCUAACAAUCGAGGAUUGCUCUUUAAACCAACUAAAAACUCAUUAUUGGGAAUUCAACACGUUGUGUCCUAACGUAUUGGAUGUGACGCAUUGAUUUCUCGAUGUAGAUUUUUUAAAAAUCAUAAAGGAAAUAUUCCGAGUUUGGGAUUUUUAAAGGAAUCGUGCCCUAACAUAUUGGGUGUGAUUUCUUAAAUCUUGGAUAAGUGGAUGUUCUUUUAAAGUAAAGGAAAUAUUCCGAGUUUGGGAUUCUAAAGGGAUCGUACCCUAACGUAUUGGGUGUGAUUUCUUAAAUCUUGGAUAAGUGGAUGUUCUUUUCAAGUUUUAUUGUACAAGUAUUUUGGCCCAAUUCAUUUUUGGGGGAAAAUUAGAAUGCUGUGCCCUAACGCAUUAGGUGUGGUAUCUUCUUUCUCUGAAAUAAAAAGGGUCUUAAUACGUAGCCUUUUAAGUUUUGCUAAGGAUUACGUUUUUCCAAAUUCUCGACCUUAAGAUACUAAUUAAUUAACCAGGUACAAAUUUUGGGCGUUACGAGGGUGUUAAUCCUUCCUCGAACGUAACUGACACCCGGAUCCGUUUUUCUAAAACUUGUAGACCAAAGCCGUUUUUUAGGUGAUCCAAUCACACCUCAAUAAAAGAUUGGUGGCGACUCCCAAAUUUUCAUUUUUUUUAAAGUCGACAACCUAAAAUUUUUGUUUUUCAAAAAAAUAGUUUCGACAAUAACAUUUAUAAACAAUGUUUUCUAUAAAGUGUUGAAUAGCUUUUACGGUGCUUAUGUUAAAGUGCUCAAAUAUGUGGCCAUACAAGAAUAGUAUAAAAAUUAUAAUACAUGCUUUAUAAGCGCAAUUGGUUAGGUUAAAAUUUGCUUUAUAAAACACAGGAGUUGAGUGAGAUGAAAAGGGUUUCCUACCUUAAUCAGUAAUCGAGGGUUUAAUCCUCGCCUAAGUAUGGAGUAGCUUUAAAACUUGUGGCCAGCAUCUACCCCCUUAAUGGGCCUACAAAAUGCGAAGGAUUAGUUACCGGGCGCGCUUCGGUAGAUACAUUGAGGAAUCAAAAAAAAAAAUUACACCAAAUAUUUUGACUUAUGUGUCUAAUAACAAAGCAGUUUUGACCCGAUAAGAAAUAUAUAAUUUUAUUUUAAAAAAUAUAUAAAAUAUAUGUCAUAAAAUUAAAAUUUUUUAUUAUUAUUGUAUUAAAAUAAAUUUUAUAAACUUCUAUAAAAAAUAAUUUCUUAAAUCAUGUACGUGUGUUUGAAAGACUAUAAGAUAAUUAGUAAUUGAUUGUAAUUACUCACGUAAUUACCUCAACUCUCAACUCCCUAAGAAUUGAAUAGUAUAAUUGAGGUGCUAUUAUAUUCAAUUUAGUGGACCCAACAAUUACAAUAGUUAGCCAAACAUACUAUUCCUUUGUACUUGCAAGUAAUUACACUUAAAUCUAAUAAUUAAUUCACAUUAAAUUUUUCAAAAUCAUACACUUUGGGGUCGAAAUUAAACUGAUUUUUUUUUAGUUUCCAAACAAUUGCAAAGAAAAUUCAUGAAAUUAAGUUGUUUUCAAAUAAUUAAUUCACAUUGGAAUUUUCAAAUAAGAUAUCACAUUACUAAUACUUCAAUCAUUAAAAUAUUAUAUAAGACAUUUUGCCUUAUACAGCAAAAUAUGAAAAUACUAAAACUUAAUCCAGUUUAAUCAUUCUAAAGUUUCUAAUUUUGUUUAAAAGUAUUUUCAAAUAUAUAUGAUUUUAAAUUUGUAUAUUUUAACAUGAAAUUCAUUAUAUUGUAGUAAGAUUUUAAUGUAAUAUGUUUAAUUUUUUUAAUUUAAUUCAAACAAUUUCACUCGAUUCAGCUCGACUCGAAUUUUAUUUCACUCAACUCAAUUUGAAAAAAAAAUUCUAAAUUGAAUUAAGAUGAUAAAAUAAGACUUGUCAACUCGAUUAACUCAAAAUUAUUUUACUCAAUCACCGCUAGCAAUUGCAUCCUUGAUACUAAUAACAACAUAAAAAUGUAUACUCAUCUUUUCAAAUUAAUAUGCAGCCACGAAAUGGAAAUUUCCAUGAAAAAAAAACUAUUGCAUAUGAAAAAGUAAGUUCCAUGACAUCGACUGAAGCAAUAACAACAAUUGCAAAAAGACAUUGACUCCUAUAGAAAUCCAUCAGUUUGGAAACUAUAACGUAUAUGCUACAACUGGGUUUUUUUCGUGUGUCACCCGUUAGGAUUUGAAUUAUGUUGGUAAUAAAUAUAAUCUAUUUUAAUUAAAAAAUGAGUAGAAUUUAGUAAUUUAUUAUGACCCAAAUUAUUGGUAAAGUUAAAAUUAAUUUUUUUUCGAACAAAAACUUUCGGUGCUCAGUACUUAUGUGUAAUUCAAUCUUCUCAUCAUAUAUUCCGAAUAAGCUAAAAGGUAUGGCAUGGUGUCUACCUUUGCUCAUCCAUGUCAGACUUGCAACUCCUUGUAUUCACCUUGAUUGUCGGCCUUCACUAAGGACUUAUAGUUAUACAAGUCAAGAGCAAAAAGAUAUGUCCCCUAAUAUCACUUUGGGUGAUGAGUCCUUUCUGAACCAUUCCAUCACCUUCAUAUGUCAUACCAUACCUAAAACAUUCUACUUUCAACAUCUAUCAAUGCGAAUCCAUUUGGUGAUGAAUCAAAGUAUGACGGUCAACAUACAAGUUUGUGUCUUAAGUCUAAGGAUCAUUUACACUACCAAUACAUGGGAGUAUUUCUAUAAACAUUUGAGUGAAAUACCAAAUGGAACUCUCAUAAUAGGCCAAGUUAUAUUUUAUAAUUUUUUCGAACUUUUUAAAAUCAUUAAUAUUUUAUUUUUUAUAUUUGUAAUACAAUAAUUUUAUAAUUUUUUUAUAACUUUUACAUUUUAAAAAUAUUUUAAUAACUUGAACAUCAAUAUAUACUUCCACACGGCAUGUCACAUGUCAACUUGCCAUAGCUUCCGUCAACUAAUCAACAACCAAUAUUGAUAAAAUCAGUCAACAACAAUUUUCGUUAUUGAAAAGAGCCAAUUGAUUUUUUUCCAUUGAAUCCUCAAUUGGGUCUGUUUUUCUAUUAUGAGCUUAAUUAAUUUUUAACUUUUUAUUAAGUUGUUUUUCCUUUAACCUUAUAUUAAUAUUCAUUACUUUAUUAAAAAAAACUUACUUUUAGGUAAUUUUUCCAACCAAAAUGAUAUCAAAUUAACUCGUAACAUAAAUUCAAUAAAAUAUAUUAUAUAAACAUAUACAUAAAUUCAUUAAAACCUGUCAAUAGUGAAAACACCAUUAAUUUGUCU
rnacentral:lncRNA from 1 species